rnacentral:rRNA from 1 species
CCUACGGGUGGCAGCAGUGGGGAAUAUUGGGCAAUGGAGGAAACUCUGACCCAGCAACGCCGCGUGAAUGAUGAAGGUCUUCGGAUUGUAAAGUUCUUUUCUCAGGGAAGAAGAAAGUGACGGUACCUUAGGAAUAAGCCUCGGCUAACUACGUGCCAGCAGCCGCGGUAAUACGUAGGAGGCAAGCGUUAUCCGGAAUGACUGGGCGUAAAGGGUGCGUAGGUGGUUUGGCAAGUUAGUAGUGUAACUCCAAGGCUUAACCUUGGUACUACUUCUAAAACUGUUGGACUUGAGUGCAGGAGAGGCAAGCGGAAUUCCUAGUGUAGCGGUGGAAUGCGUAGAUAUUAGGAGGAACACCAGUGGCGAAGGCGGGUGACUGGACUGUAACUGACACUGAGGCACGAAAGCGUGGGGAGCAAACAGGAUUAGAUACCCCAGUAGUC